rnacentral:rRNA from 1 species
AAUCAACGCUGGCGGCGUGCUUAAGACAUGCAAGUCGAACGGCAGUCUUCGGACUGUAGUGGCGCACGGGUGAGUAACGCGUAACUGACCUACCCCAAAGUCGCGGAUAACGAUUCGAAAGAAUCGCUAAUACGUGAUGUGCUGUCAGAUUGUGUUCUGCCAGUAAAGAUUGAUUGCUUUGGGAUGGGGUUGCGUUCCAUCAGCUAGUUGGUGGGGUAAAGGCCCACCAAGGCGACGACGGAUAGCCGGCCUGAGAGGGUGGCCGGCAACAGGGGCACUGAGACACGGGUCCCACUCCUACGGGAGGCAGCAGUUAAGAAUCUUCCACAAUGGGCGAAAGCCUGAUGGAGCGACGCCGCGUGAGGGAUGAAGGUCUUCGGAUCUUAAACCUCUGAAUCAGGGACGAAAGACACUUCGGUGGGAUGACGGUACCUGAGUAAUAGCACCGGCUAACUCCGUGCCAGCAGCCGCCGUAACAC